UACGGGGGGGGGCAAGCGUUGUUCGGAAUUACUGGGCGUAAAGGGCUCGUAGGCGGCCAACUAAGUCGGACGUGAAAUCCCUCGGCUCAACCGAGGAACUGCGUCCGAUACUGGAUGGCUUGAAUUCGGGAGAGGGAUGCAGAAUUCCAGGUGUAGCGGUGAAAUGCGUAGAUAUCUGGAGGAAUACCGGUGGCGAAGGCGGCAUCCUGGACCGACAUUGACGCUGAUGAGCGAAAGCCAGGGGAGCAAA
rnacentral:rRNA from 1 species